GAUGAACGCUAGCUACAGGCUUAACACAUGCAAGUCGAGGGGCAGCAUGAAAGUUUGCUUGCAAACUUUUGAUGGCGACCGGCGCACGGGUGAGUAACACGUAUCCAACCUGCCUCAUACUCGGGGAUAGCCUUUCGAAAGAAAGAUUAAUACCCGAUGUCAUAGUCCUACCGCAUGAUGGGAUUAUUAAAGAAUUUCGGUAUGGGAUGGGGAUGCGUUCCAUUAGUUAGUUGGCGGGGUAACGGCCCACCAAGGCAUCGAUGGAUAGGGGUUCUGAGAGGAAGGUCCCCCACAUUGGAACUGAGACACGGUCCAA
rnacentral:rRNA from 1 species